rnacentral:rRNA from 1 species
UGCCAGCAGCCGCGGUAAUACGAAUGGAGCGAGCGUUGUUCGGAAUCACUGGGCGUAAAGGGUGCGCAGGCGGUUAUGAAAGUUAGAAGUGAAAGCCCAGGGCUCAACCCUGGAAUUGCUUUUAAAACUCCAUAACUUGAGUACUGGAGAGGUUGGCGGAAUUCCGAGUGUAGAGGUGAAAUUCGCAGAUAUUCGGAGGAACACCAAUGGCGUAGGCAGCCAACUGGACAGUAACUGACGCUCAUGCACGAAAGCGUGGGGAUCAAACAGGAUUAGAUACCCUGGUAGUCCACGCCCUAAACGAUGUGUGCUAGUUGUCGGGCCCUUUAGGGUUCGGUGACGCAGCUAACGCUUUAAGCACACCGCCUGGGGAGUACGGUCGCAAGAUUAAAACUCAAAGGAAUUGACGGGGACCCGCACAAGCGGUGGAGCAUGUUGUUUAAUUCGAAGCAACGCGAAGAACCUUACCUACACUUGACAUGCCCUUUAGGACUUUCAGAGAUGAUCGUUUUCAGUUCGGCUGGGAGGAGCACAGGUGCUGCAUGGCUGUCGUCAGCUCGUGUCGUGAGAUGUUGGGUUAA